AGUGUGCGUUAUGGCGGCCAAUACCUCGGCUUGCACAAAGCUGCCUGUCAGCUUUCCUAAGACACCAGCACUGGGACGGACUACAUUUGCUUUUUCUCGAUUUCCAAUUAAUUAAUCUCGGAAACACAAACAGCAGCUGAUUUUUUUGUUGUUGUUGUUCGCUUGAAAUUACUAUUUAAGGCAAAGACACUGGAGUGAAACACGAGUGUGUUCUAGAAGUAAUGGUUUAGUUGUUAUCUUCAGUUGCUUAGCGACUAAUUAGACAAGAAGAGAACUUGUGGGUGGGGAUUAUUUGCGUUUUAGAACGGCAGAAACCAGGGGCAAAUGAAAAUGAGUUCAGGGGCUAGCGUUUAGAAUCAAUCUAAUUAAAUCUCAGUGCUGGGGAAGUAAGCAGCGCUAAAGAGGAACAGUAGGCAGUUAAGGUUCACAGGUGGGUUAAAUUAAGCCGAGUUUUUGUUGUAAUUUUUCCGUACCAUAUGGAUUGCUUUCUCAUUCCCCGUUGUUUUGGCGGCGACAAAUUCGGAUCUUUAACCAGCAGAGGGCGAGUCGACUGCAUUUUUCAGCCCUCAGACACUCCCUCUUCCUCCCUUCUCUGCCCCUGGGAAAUUAAUUUAC
rnacentral:lncRNA from 1 species